rnacentral:rRNA from 1 species
UCAAAUGAAUUGACGGGGGCCCGCACAAGCGGUGGAGCAUGUGGUUUAAUUCGAUGCAACGCGAAGAACCUUACCUGGUCUUGACAUCCACGGAAGUUUUCAGAGAUGAGAAUGUGCCUUCGGGAACCGUGAGACAGGUGCUGCAUGGCUGUCGUCAGCUCGUGUUGUGAAAUGUUGGGUUAAGUCCCGCAACGAGCGCAACCCUUAUCCUUUGUUGCCAGCGGUUAGGCCGGGAACUCAAAGGAGACUGCCAGUGAUAAACUGGAGGAAGGUGGGGAUGACGUCAAGUCAUCAUGGCCCUUACGACCAGGGCUACACACG